rnacentral:lncRNA from 1 species
GAACUUUCUAGAACUCAUAGGGAGAGAGGUUGAAGGAGGGAGCACAUAGCCAAAAGAAACACAACUAGCACACUCUCUUAUUACACUCUAGCUUCUCUAGGCCUAUCUUAACUCUUUUUGUUCUUACACUCAUCAUCAAGCAUCCACACAUUCAAAUCAACCAACUCUCACAUUCAUUAAGCACAAAACAUCAGGUGAAUUCUUGCAAAUGGUCAGUUGGUCCAAGUCAUUUGGUUGGGUAAGGGAAGGCUUUUAUUCAAGUGAUUCAAGAGGUUCAAAACAUAUGAUCUUUAAGGUGGUUUACUCUCAAAACAAGUAGCCUUGACAUUGCACAUAAUAUAUCUAAGAAAGGGACCAACUCAUGCAUACAAUGCUCAAUCUCCAUUGUUCUACCCUUUUCUCAAACAUACAAAUCACACAAUCAUUUCCCAAUGUCAAACCCAACUCACAUCUCUCACCAAAAGAUCCUAAGAACUUUAACUCCUUCUCUUUGAAAUCUACAAGGGAUUUUUUCACAACCUCAAAACAUUUCUUAGCUCCUAACAACUUUGCUAGCCCCCUUUUCUUUCUUUUUCUCUUUUUUUUUUUUCCUUUUUUUUUUUUCGUUUUUCUUUUUCUCUUUUCUUUUUUUUUUAGGCUGGGGGCCAAGACUUUUCAAAACUUGAGCUAGAGGCUUCUAUACUGGUCCCAAUAAAACAAUUCACUUAAGCACAAAGAGUCUAUUCUUUUCCUUUUUCAUUUCUCCCAAAUCAUAAUCACAACACUCACCCCCACCUAUAGCUAGACAAUAGAGUGUCCAAUCUAGCAAGAAUGAAGAUCAAGCAUUGUCGUUCCCGAUACUCUCAACAUUAUGCACAUGUAAGACUUUCCAAAAAAGGCCUCACUCAUCAAACAAUGAAAGCUUAAAAGGAAGAAAAGAUUUUGGGAGUGGUCUACCACUAGAGUUUGUCAAAAAAGAUUGGUAUAAAAGAUGUGACAACUCAAGUGUGUAUAGCCAUGACUCAGUACACAAGGGACCAUGAGCAAGAAGCAUUAAGUUCGUUCAGUUCAAAUAAGGUUGUAGUUGGCUUCAAAGACUGAGUUUCAGCAAUCAACAAGUUUCAGGAAGAGUUUUCAGGGCUCGAAACAUACAAGUCUUUUUGAGAGGUGCAAAAGCUACUCAGGUGCAACGUAGUGUUCUUUACAAGGCAUUCAAAAUCAUUGCUCCCAAUGCAAGUGAAUGCAACCUAUAUGCUCUAGACUCUCCCAAAAAUGCAAAUGAUGCAAACUAAAUGAUUGGUUUUUUUUUUAUGCAAAUAGGUAUGCAAUGCAUGACUCAAUGAAACAACAUCAAAGCAAACAUGAUCAAAUACUUGGUACCUUCCCCAAACUUGAGUUACACAGUCUCUGUGUCGUCAAGUAGAGAGAGAUACCGAAAAGAAGACUAAUAUGCAAAAAUGAAAUGGUAUAUACAAGGGGGUGUGGUGGGUUACCUUCUAUGGGGAAUGAGUAGAGGGAGAUGCUCCCUCCUCGUCGUCCUCAGGUGGUAACUCUUCAAGGUGCUCAUCAGCAGGAGUGUCAAUCUCUUCAAUGUAGAAGGCUUGCCCGAACACAGUUGGUUUCCUCAUUUUCCUCUUGAUGUCAAAGUGGAGGAUGUUCUCUUUACCCAAAUGGAGAUCAAUCGUGCCCUCCUUCACAUUAACAAUAGCUCCUGCUGUAGCUAAGAAUGGCCUUCCUAGAAUCAAUGGAUCUUGAGCCUCCUCACCCAUCUCAAGCACCACAAAAUCUGUAGGUAUCUCAUACCUUCCAAUCUUCACAGGGAGGUCCUCUAAGAUGCCCACAGGGUACUUCACUGAAC